UUAUCCCAGGCAUUUGGGUGCGGUCAUCCAAGGUAAGUGUGCCCAAAGGGCGCCGCCGCACCCACUCCCGCAAGGGAGUCGUGUCUGGGAGGAGGA
rnacentral:ncRNA from 1 species